AUGAGGCCGUACGUGUAUCUUGGGAUCAUCCUCUUUUGUCUUCACACAGCCAAUAGCUUGAGGUGCGCAAAGUGUGUGAGCAAGAAAGGAAACUGCAAUGAGACCGAAGUGGAAGCGUGCAGUUCAUAUCAAGAUGCUUGUUUCUUUGAAGUUAAGGAUUUUAUUGGUGUGAGCGGAACGACUGUGAAACGGGGUUGCACCACUGCAAACUAUUGCCGCCGCUACCCUGGAGGGUAUAAGGGACAUCUGGACCGGACAAUGUAUUGCUGCUCUUCGGACCUCUGCGAACCUGUGGAUUAUCACCACAGCCACACCGGAGCAGAAAACAGCAUGGCGUGCCAGAGCUGUAUUGGAAACGAAGCAGAAUGCGGCCAAAACGCUUGGUCAGAGCCGUGCCAUGGGAAUGCCGAUCGGUGUAUACAGAUUUCCCAGCGCUUCCUCCCAGGUGAAGAACUAGAACCCAUUAUAAAAGGAUGUGGAGACAGUUCCUUUAGGGACACUCUGGUGGCUUACCAGAUCGGGAAAGAUUUCGCCUAUGUUGAGCAAAACGUCUGCGGUCUGAGGAACUGUAACAACAGGAGUUUCCCAGACAUAUCUCCUGGACAACCGAACGGAUUAAAGUGCUACACCUGUCGAGAGACAGGGAAGGGGGAGUGUGACCGUGAGAGGCUGCAGCUUUUGAACUGCACCGGGAUCAUGGAUCGGUGUGUGCACAUCAUAAGCAAAGGUAAAAAACUGACAGUAGACAGUGGUGGCUUUCACCCCACGGGAUUUGCAGUACAGCAGAUGGAAAGGGGAGUCAGAGUCGGUACUUCGAAGAGUUGGUCUGAAAGGGGUGGGUGGGAAAUGGGCCACCUUUGUUGGAUGUCACUAUUUGGUGUACCCGUUAGGCCCUAAAUAUUGACAUAGGAAUACCCUUUUAGAAAACGGCUAGAACUGGAAGUGAACUGGCAAACUAAAGCCAGAACAUAGACUCAUUCAGAGAGGCAGUGUGUAGACUCUGCUGCAUGUGUUUGUGUGUGUAGGCAUCAUCUUGACAAAUAAGAGCCAUCAGCCUAUCUCCUUAACAGAUGGAAGGUGCUUGACUACUCACACAGCCCCCCACUCCCUGCAUUUUGGGGAAGGGCAUUCUCAACCAAUCCACAGCCCACUAUUGCUUUAAAUGUAGUCUGUAGUGCACUACAAUUCCCAUGAGCCUUCGCCAGCUUAGUCAAUGUGGAGGGCUCAUGGGCAUCAUGGUCACACUUGUCUAGAGAGCACCAUGUGAGGGGUGGCGGGCACAUGGAUGCCACUGUAGUGGCGGGCACAUGGGGCGCUAAAUAACCAGGCAAUGUUUGCAAAAGGCAAUGCAAGACGUUGAAAGAGUGUUAUGAACGCUGGCUGUUUUUCUCCUUCUCCAGACCGUGACGUGCCGACAACUAUCCAGAAGGGUUGUGCCACAGAGUCGAUGUGCACCAGCUAUUCCGAUAUCUAUUAUAAGCUGAUGAGGCAGGAUUCGUACCCUACCUGCUGCAAGAAGUCCUUCUGCAACCGAGCAGGAGAUCAUUCUGGUCCAGAGAGGCUGCUGGCAGUGGCGGGUGUUGUCCUGUGGCUGGCGCUGAUGGCUGGGAAAUAGCUGGAGUUUGCUGGAUCAUCCUUCUUUUAAAAAAGCUUGAUGACCCUGGGUGCUUAAAGCUGCCCGGGUGAAAUCGAUUGUUGGCAUUUGGCACAUCUACAAGUCACUGUGACAGUUGCACUACUUAGUGUAGGUAUUGGAUACUGAGAUAGAUAUAUAAUGGGCAACAUUUCACGUGCACAAAGAGAAAGGGGACAAGAUGGAAAAGAAGCUUAGAAAUGUCCUGUGGAAAGUCACGACUUUCUGCAGGGUUCAUUCUGCCCACUAGAGGGCCGCAAAACC
ensembl:lncRNA urokinase plasminogen activator surface receptor-like